AUUGAACGCUGGCGGCAGGCUUAACACAUGCAAGUCGAGCGGGGGAAGGUAGCUUGCUACCGGACCUAGCGGCGGACGGGUGAGUAAUGCUUAGGAAUCUGCCUAUUAGUGGGGGACAACAUCUCGAAAGGGAUGCUAAUACCGCAUACGUCCUACGGGAGAAAGCAGGGGAUCUUCGGACCUUGCGCUAAUAGAUGAGCCUAAGUCGGAUUAGCUAGUUGGUGGGGUAAAGGCCUACCAAGGCGACGAUCUGUAGCGGGUCUGAGAGGAUGAUCCGCCACACUGGGACGGAGACACGGCCCAGACACCUCCGGGAGGCAGCAGUGGGGAAUAUUGGACAAUGGGGGGAACCCUGAUCCAGCCAUGCCGCGUGUGUGAAGAAGGCCUUAUGGUUGUAAAGCACUUUAAGCGAGGAGGAGGCUACUCUAGUUAAUACCUAGGGAUAGUGGACGUUACUCGCAGAAUAAGCACCGGCUAACUCUGUGCCAGCAGCCGCCGUAA
rnacentral:rRNA from 1 species